UUGACUAAACACGCUUACUUUAUUCAGAAACCCGAGAGACUUCCACAACAAGACGUUGGCAUAUUGUUCUGACGGCCGAAUUAAGAGAAAGCCACUGUACCCACAGGCAGUGUGGAUUUUUGUGGCCUCUUCAUUCACCCUGCAGCAGAGUGGUGGAUGCAGACUGACCAGUGAUAGCAUCUUUUCCCGAGCAGGAAUCGAACCCAUGCUUCUGGCAUUGGAAGCACAGAGUCUUAACCGCUGGACCACCGGGGCAUUUUAGAAGUAAGGAAAGGAAGGAGGACUCUCCCAGGUGUCUGAGUGAUGGGGCCAGGCCUCCGGGCCAGAGGGCCAGCUGCACCCUCCGAGUUUCUUGUGUCUGCUGCUGAAUCAUGGUUCUGAACUGUCCAGAGCAGAGGAAUCCUUGCUGGAUACAAAAGCACUCCACCCCGAGGGAAAACACUGAUGGAUUUUAUAACUUGAUAAUAAAGCUCUCUCUGGGGAGAAUGCCCUCCCAGAGGUAGGAGAUUAAUUUUAUCUUUUGCUUUUUUUGGCUGCUUCUCUUCCCCUGUGUCUUACCCAUUCUUUUCUAUGACUUGCUCAACGAAGGGCAAAGCGGUUUUCUAGAAAGCACCAAACCCUUGAGGCCUUUGAUUUCAGAGCAGGAAAAAAAUGGCCCGGGCUGAGGGCAAGCUCACAGCAGCCUGCCAAAAGAGGGUUCAACCUCUUGCC
rnacentral:lncRNA from 1 species